rnacentral:miRNA from 1 species
AAAACCCUGAAUGAACUUUUUGA